ACUGUGUUCCGUAGGUGAACCUGCGGAAGGAUCAUUA
rnacentral:rRNA from 1 species